rnacentral:lncRNA from 1 species
GUAAAUUACAUCAGAAUAAGUCUGCUGGUCUGGUGGUUAAAUGGUGUGUUAUUAUGGUGGAGGUCUUGUGUUUGAAUCCAUAUGUAGGCAAGGGUAUUAGUUUUUUUUUUACUUAGAUUUCGGGAUAAAGUUGUGUAAUAGGGGGAUUUUGAGUAGUGGAUGUGUAGUGGGAAUUAGGGUAGAAGAUUAAGGGAUUUUGGGGGUUAUCGGGAUUUUUUUUCCCAUAACCAAAUUUUGACUCUUUUUUCUAAAAAAAUUCUACCGUCUAUUCUUCUCCCUUUUCUCUUGCCAAAAUUCUCUGAGUUUUUCUUUCUCUUUUUUUUCUUCUUCAUGAUUUUUCCCUAAUCCAUUUAUUUUCCUUCAUUUUCGCACGUAGUUAGUGUUCGCUCAGUUUCAGUAAGCGUUUCUCUUUAUUUCUGUUAUGAAUAUCUUAGCGACUAAAGUGGUAAUGUUUUUACUCUACGAUUUGGGUAUAGGGGGAGGCUCGGACUGGUGAAUUCAAUGUUCUCAUCUUAACAAUAGUUAAAUGGAGGGUUAUCAUUGGUGGUAAGUUGGGUUUUUAUUCGUUCUUGGUUGUCAAUUCAGUUGUCAAUCCGUUAAAUUGAUGUUGAGUAUCUUGAUUAUAGGAUUUGAAGUGCUCGGGGACUAUUUUA